CUGCGCCACAAGUGGCAGUCAGCAUUAUUGGGCCUAAAGCAUCCGUAGCCGGCGCUGUAAGUUUUCGGUUAAAUCUGUACGCUCAACGUACAGGCUGCCGGGAAUACUGCAGCGCUAGGGAGUGGGAGAGGUAGACGGUACUCGGUAGGAAGGAGUAAAAUCCUUUGAUCUAUUGAUGACCACCUGUGGCGAAGGCGGUCUACCAGAACACGUCCGACGGUGAGGGAUGAAAGCUGGGGGAGCAAACCGGAUUAGAUACCCCAGUAGUCC
rnacentral:rRNA from 1 species